CAAUAGCAUAUAUUAAAGUUGUUGCAGUUAAAAGCUCGUAGUUGGAUUUCUGGCAUGAUGCGCCUGGCCCGCCUCAAUUCUGAGUGUGUGUGCGAGUGCGCGUCUGCCAUCCAUUUGCAGAAUGUGCCUACUCUUCAUUGAGCCGGGUACGUGAUGUAAAUCUUUUACUUUUGAAAAAUUAGAGUGUUUAAAGCAGGCUUUUUGCUAAUGAAUACAUUAGCAUGGAAUAAUAAUAUAGGACUUUGGUUCUAUUUUGUUGGUUUCUAGGACUAAAGUAAUGAUUGAUAGGGAUAGUUGGGGGUGCUAGUAUUCAGCGGCCAGAGGUGAAAUUCUUGGAUUCGCUGAAGACUAACUUAUGCGAAAGCAUUCACCAAGGAUGUCUUCUUUAAUCAAGAACGAAAGUUGGGGAUCGAAGACGAUUAGAUACCG
rnacentral:rRNA from 1 species